rnacentral:rRNA from 1 species
GACGGAGGAUGCAAGCGUUAUCCGGCUUUAUUGGGUUUAAAGGGAGCGUAGGCGGGCUAAUAAGUCAGUGGUGAAAUCUUGGGGCUCAACCCCGAAACUGCCAUUGAUACUGUUAACCUAGAGUAUAUUUGAUGUGGGCGGAAUGUGUCAUGUAGCGGUGAAAUGCUUAGAUAUGACACAGAACACCGAUUGCGUAGGCAGCUCACAAAACUGUAACUGACGCUGAGGCUCGAAAGCGUGGGGAUCAAACAGG